rnacentral:rRNA from 2 species
CAUGCAAGUCGAGCGGACAGAUGGGAGCUUGCUCCCUGAUGUUAGCGGCGGACGGGUGAGUAACACGUGGGUAACCUGCCUGUAAGACUGGGAUAACUCCGGGAAACCGGGGCUAAUACCGGAUGGUUGUUUGAACCGCAUGGUUCAAACAUAAAAGGUGGCUUCGGCUACCACUUACAGAUGGACCCGCGGCGCAUUAGCUAGUUGGUGAGGUAACGGCUCACCAAGGCAACGAUGCGUAGCCGACCUGAGAGGGUGAUCGGCCACACUGGGACUGAGACACGGCCCAGACUCCUACGGGAGGCAGCAGUAGGGAAUCUUCCGCAAUGGACGAAAGUCUGACGGAGCAACGCCGCGUGAGUGAUGAAGGUUUUCGGAUCGUAAAGCUCUGUUGUUAGGGAAGAACAAGUACCGUUCGAAUAGGGCGGUACCUUGACGGUACCUAACCAGAAAGCCACGGCUAACUACGUGCCAGCAGCCGCGGUAAUACGUAGGUGGCAAGCGUUGUCCGGAAUUAUUGGGCGUAAAGGGCUCGCAGGCGGUUUCUUAAGUCUGAUGUGAAAGCCCCCGGCUCAACCGGGGAGGGUCAUUGGAAACUGGGGAACUUGAGUGCAGAAGAGGAGAGUGGAAUUCCACGUGUAGCGGUGAAAUGCGUAGAGAUGUGGAGGAACACCAGUGGCGAAGGCGACUCUCUGGUCUGUAACUGACGCUGAGGAGCGAAAGCGUGGGGAGCGAACAGGAUUAGAUACCCUGGUAGUCCACGCCGUAAACGAUGAGUGCUAAGUGUUAGGGGGUUUCCGCCCCUUAGUGCUGCAGCUAACGCAUUAAGCAC